UUGAACGCUGGCGGCAGGCCUAACACAUGCAAGUCGAACGGUAACAGGAAGCAGCUUGCUGCUUCGCUGACGAGUGGCGGACGGGUGAGUAAUGUCUGGGAAACUGCCUGAUGGAGGGGGAUAACUACUGGAAACGGUAGCUAAUACCGCAUAACGUCGCAAGACCAAAGAGGGGGACCUUCGGGCCUCUUGCCAUCGGAUGUGCCCAGAUGGGAUUAGCUAGUAGGUGGGGUAACGGCUCACCUAGGCGACGAUCCCUAGCUGGUCUGAGAGGAUGACCAGCCACACUGGAACUGAGACACGGUCCAGACUCCUACGGGAGGCAGCAGUGGGGAAUAUUGCACAAUGGGCGCAAGCCUGAUGCAGCCAUGCCGCGUGUAUGAAGAAGGCCUUCGGGUUGUAAAGUACUUUCAGCGGGGAGGAAGGGAGUAAAGUUAAUACCUUUGCUCAUUGACGUUACCCGCAGAAGAAGCACCGGCUAACUCCGUGCCAGCAGCCGCGGUAAUACGGAGGGUGCAAGCGUUAAUCGGAAUUACUGGGCGUAAAGCGCACGCAGGCGGUUUGUUAAGUCAGAUGUGAAAUCCCCGGGCUCAACCUGGGAACUGCAUCUGAUACUGGCAAGCUUGAGUCUCGUAGAGGGGGGUAGAAUUCCAGGUGUAGCGGUGAAAUGCGUAGAGAUCUGGAGGAAUACCGGUGGCGAAGGCGGCCCCCUGGACGAAGACUGACGCUCAGGUGCGAAAGCGUGGGGAGCAAACAGGAUUAGAUACCCUGGUAGUCCACGCCGUAAACGAUGUCGACUUGGAGGUUGUGCCCUUGAGGCGUGGCUUCCGGAGCUAACGCGUUAAGUCGACCGCCUGGGGAGUACGGCCGCAAGGUUAAAACUCAAAUGAAUUGACGGGGGCCCGCACAAGCGGUGGAGCAUGUGGUUUAAUUCGAUGCAACGCGAAGAACCUUACCUGGUCUUGACAUCCACAGAACUUUCCAGAGAUGGAUUGGUGCCUUCGGGAACUGUGAGACAGGUGCUGCAUGGCUGUCGUCAGCUCGUGUUGUGAAAUGUUGGGUUAAGUCCCGCAACGAGCGCAACCCUUAUCCUUUGUUGCCAGCGGUCCGGCCGGGAACUCAAAGGAGACUGCCAGUGAUAAACUGGAGGAAGGUGGGGAUGACGUCAAAUCAUCAUGCCCUUUAUGUCCUGGGCUACACACGUACUACAAUGGCUGUAACAGAGAGAAGCAACACCGCGAGGUAGAGCGAAACUCCAAAAGCAGUCUCAGUUCGGAUUGAAGGCUGAAAUUCGCCUUCAUGAAGCCGGAAUUGCUAGUAAUGGCAGGUCAGCAUACUGCCGUGAAUACGUUCCCGGGCCUUGUACACACCGCCCGUCACACCAUGAGAGUUGGGGAUACCCGAAGCCUGUGAGCCAACAGUUAAAUGAGGCAGCAGUCGAAGGUAGAAUCAAUGAUUGGGGUG
rnacentral:rRNA from 1 species